AGCGUACACGGUGGAUGCCCUGGCAGUCAGAGGCGAUGAAGGACGUGCUAAUCUGCGAUAAGCGUCGGUGAGGUGAUAUGAACCGUUAUAACCGGCGAUUUCCGAAUGGGGAAACCCAGUGUGUUUCGACACACUAUCAUUAACUGAAUCCAUAGGUUAAUGAGGCGAACCGGGGGAACUGAAACAUCUAAGUACCCCGAGGAAAAGAAAUCAACCGAGAUUCCCCCAGUAGCGGCGAGCGAACGGGGAGGAGCCCAGAGCCUGAAUCAGUGUGUGUGUUAGUGGAAGCGUCUGGAAAGGCGCGCGAUACAGGGUGACAGCCCCGUACACAAAAAUGCACAUAUUGUGAGCUCGAUGAGUAGGGCGGGACACGUGGUAUCCUGUCUGAAUAUGGGGGGACCAUCCUCCAAGGCUAAAUACUCCUGACUGACCGAUAGUGAACCAGUACCGUGAGGGAAAGGCGAAAAGAACCCCGGCGAGGGGAGUGAAAAAGAACCUGAAACCGUGUACGUACAAGCAGUGGGAGCCUCUUAAUGGGGUGACUGCGUACCUUUUGUAUAAUGGGUCAGCGACUUAUAUUCUGUAGCAAGGUUAACCGAAUAGGGGAGCCGAAGGGAAACCGAGUCUUAACUGGGCGUUAAGUUGCAGGGUAUAGACCCGAAACCCGGUGAUCUAGCCAUGGGCAGGUUGAAGGUUGGGUAACACUAACUGGAGGACCGAACCGACUAAUGUUGAAAAAUUAGCGGAUGACUUGUGGCUGGGGGUGAAAGGCCAAUCAAACCGGGAGAUAGCUGGUUCUCCCCGAAAGCUAUUUAGGUAGCGCCUCGUGAAUUCAUCUCCGGGGGUAGAGCACUGUUUCGGCAAGGGGGUCAUCCCGACUUACCAACCCGAUGCAAACUGCGAAUACCGGAGAAUGUUAUCACGGGAGACACACGGCGGGUGCUAACGUCCGUCGUGAAGAGGGAAACAACCCAGACCGCCAGCUAAGGUCCCAAAGUCAUGGUUAAGUGGGAAACGAUGUGGGAAGGCCCAGACAGCCAGGAUGUUGGCUUAGAAGCAGCCAUCAUUUAAAGAAAGCGUAAUAGCUCACUGGUCGAGUCGGCCUGCGCGGAAGAUGUAACGGGGCUAAACCAUGCACCGAAGCUGCGGCAGCGACGCUUAUGCGUUGUUGGGUAGGGGAGCGUUCUGUAAGCCUGUGAAGGUGGCCUGUGAGGGUUGCUGGAGGUAUCAGAAGUGCGAAUGCUGACAUAAGUAACGAUAAAGCGGGUGAAAAGCCCGCUCGCCGGAAGACCAAGGGUUCCUGUCCAACGUUAAUCGGGGCAGGGUGAGUCGACUCCUAAGGCGAGGCCGAAAGGCGUAGUCGAUGGGAAACAGGUUAAUAUUCCUGUACUUGGUGUUACUGCGAAGGGGGGACGGAGAAGGCUAUGUUGGCCGGGCGACGGUUGUCCCGGUUUAAGCGUGUAGGCUGGUUUUCCAGGCAAAUCCGGAAAACCAAGGCUGAGGCGUGAUGACGAGGCACUACGGUGCUGAAGUGACAAAUGCCCUGCUUCCAGGAAAAGCCUCUAAGCAUCAGGUAACAUCAAAUCGUACCCCAAACCGACACAGGUGGUCAGGUAGAGAAUACCAAGGCGCUUGAGAGAACUCGGGUGAAGGAACUAGGCAAAAUGGUGCCGUAACUUCGGGAGAAGGCACGCUGAUAUGUAGGUGAAGCGACUUGCUCGUGGAGCUGAAAUCAGUCGAAGAUACCAGCUGGCUGCAACUGUUUAUUAAAAACACAGCACUGUGCAAACACGAAAGUGGACGUAUACGGUGUGACGCCUGCCCGGUGCCGGAAGGUUAAUUGAUGGGGUUAGCGGCAACGCGAAGCUCUUGAUCGAAGCCCCGGUAAACGGCGGCCGUAACUAUAACGGUCCUAAGGUAGCGAAAUUCCUUGUCGGGUAAGUUCCGACCUGCACGAAUGGCGUAAUGAUGGCCAGGCUGUCUCCACCCGAGACUCAGUGAAAUUGAACUCGCUGUGAAGAUGCAGUGUACCCGCGGCAAGACGGAAAGACCCCGUGAACCUUUACUAUAGCUUGACACUGAACAUUGAGCCUUGAUGUGUAGGAUAGGUGGGAGGCUUUGAAGUGUGGACGCCAGUCUGCAUGGAGCCGACCUUGAAAUACCACCCUUUAAUGUUUGAUGUUCUAACGUUGGCCCGUAAUCCGGGUUGCGGACAGUGUCUGGUGGGUAGUUUGACUGGGGCGGUCUCCUCCUAAAGAGUAACGGAGGAGCACGAAGGUUGGCUAAUCCUGGUCGGACAUCAGGAGGUUAGUGCAAUGGCAUAAGCCAGCUUGACUGCGAGCGUGACGGCGCGAGCAGGUGCGAAAGCAGGUCAUAGUGAUCCGGUGGUUCUGAAUGGAAGGGCCAUCGCUCAACGGAUAAAAGGUACUCCGGGGAUAACAGGCUGAUACCGCCCAAGAGUUCAUAUCGACGGCGGUGUUUGGCACCUCGAUGUCGGCUCAUCACAUCCUGGGGCUGAAGUAGGUCCCAAGGGUAUGGCUGUUCGCCAUUUAAAGUGGUACGCGAGCUGGGUUUAGAACGUCGUGAGACAGUUCGGUCCCUAUCUGCCGUGGGCGCUGGAGAACUGAGGGGGGCUGCUCCUAGUACGAGAGGACCGGAGUGGACGCAUCACUGGUGUUCGGGUUGUCAUGCCAAUGGCACUGCCCGGUAGCUAAAUGCGGAAGAGAUAAGUGCUGAAAGCAUCUAAGCACGAAACUUGCCCCGAGAUGAGUUCU
rnacentral:rRNA from 1 species